rnacentral:rRNA from 1 species
UGGGGAAUAUUGGACAAUGGGCGAAAGCCUGAUCCAGCCAUGCCGCGUGUGUGAAGAAGGUCUUCGGAUUGUAAAGCACUUUAAGUUGGGAGGAAGGGCAUUAACCUAAUACGUUAGUGUUUUGACGUUACCGACAGAAUAAGCACCGGCUAACUCUGUGCCAGCAGCCGCGGUAAUACAGAGGGUGCAAGCGUUAAUCGGAAUUACUGGGCGUAAAGCGCGCGUAGGUGGUUUGUUAAGUUGGAUGUGAAAUCCCCGGGCUCAACCUGGGAACUGCAUUCAAAACUGACUGACUAGAGUAUGGUAGAGGGUGGUGGAAUUUCCUGUGUAGCGGUGAAAUGGGUAGAUAUAGGAAGGAACACCAGUGGCGAAGGCGACCACCUGGACUAAUACUGACACUGAGGUGCGAAAGCGUGGGGAGCAAACA